rnacentral:lncRNA from 1 species
CUGCAUCUCUGGGCUCUUGUGUGGGGAAGCAGAUCCUAGAUGCCCCCUGAGGACACCCACUGGUGUGACCAAUGUCUCACAGCCACCAAGGAGGCGCGAAACAGGUGCCUGAGAAGGUUUUUUUCUUUUUUCUUUUUACCAUCGUCUGCCAAUAUGUCCUGUGUCCCCUUCAGCUCUCCUCUGACCUGGCUGAGAUUCUGCAGAUGCUGACCUGGCCCAAGAGGGUGGAGGCAGGUGGUGGGCACAGGAGAGUCGCCAAGUCAAUGGCUCUGCUGUCAACAAGGGAGCAUCUAGCAAUUUCCUCGGUCCAGAAGAUGUGACCGGAGGCCACCUUCUCUUUCAUUUCUAAAAGAAAUGAGACGCACCGUUCUGUUGAGGAGAUUGGCACAGAUUGAGAAGAAGAUUCUCACUUGAGUCAGCAGGUGGACCUGUAAGAGCACUCCCACCUGUCUUUAGGGUUAACUUGCUUCAAGCUUCUUGCUUGCUGACCUAAACCCCAUAUUUUUUCCAAGUCCAAGUCCCAAGUCCCCUACUUCUCCUUGAGAUCCUGCAGACCCCUGGCUUUGAGAUACAAUGGACCAGGCUUUCCAGAAGGGGAGGCACCACUGUCCUCAAUGAUGGGUUCCUGGUGCAAGGAAGGCUCUGCAUGCAGCUUGUUGGGCUGCCGGACUAGCCUUUGCUGGGAGACACCUGGGGGCCUUGAUCACUGGCCAAUUGCUGGGGGAAUCUGGAAGCCGAGUACCUGCUUCUCCUGCACAGUUUCUGUGCCUUCCCCUUUAAGCCUUCUGGCUCCUCCUGAAUGGAAGAGAAGAUUCUUUGAGACUUUAGUCUACCAUCUUCCCUGUUGCCAGCUUCCUUAAUAAGGCAACCUUUUGGGGUGCCUGGGUGGCUCAGUUGGUUAAGCGUCUGCCUUCAGCUCAGGUCAUGAUCCCAGGGUCCUGAGGUCGAGCUCCACAUUGGGCUCCCUGCUUAGUGGGGAGGUGCUCCUGAGCCCUGCUCAUGUGCUCUCUCUCUCUCUCUCUCUCUCAAAUAAAUAAAUAAAAUCUUCAAUAAUAAUAAGGCAACCUUUCCUUUCCCACCAAUGCUUGUGUCUUGAGAUUGGCUUUCUGGGUAGCAAGCAGCCGAACCUGAGUUCAGAAUUGGUCCUCUGUCCCAUAACAAGGGGAUGGGGAGUCUGACUUUCUCAUGCUUUUGGAGUGUAGGUUGUUUUUUGGGACAGACUUGGUGAUAGCUGUCAGUGUCCUUCAGCUGAGCACCAUCAGGAGGACACUGGGAGUUGAGCAAAUGUGGAUUUAUCAUCUCACUGCAGGGAGGGGGGCGCACACCCAGGACACCAAGGAGCAUCUCCGUGAGACGGUGUUUGGAAGGACCAAUAUGAGACAUGGGCUUGUAUUUUAUUUGGGGAGAAGUUUCAAAGAAAAGUGAUUUUUAUGCGCAAAAGAAUUGAUAUCGGGGACUCAAGCAGAUAGUUGUACACCCAUAAGCUGAGAGACAUAAAAUAGAUUCCAGGUUACCGUGGGUGGUGAGAUGGGGGGGUAUGGGGAGUCAGUGUUUAAUGGGAACACACUUUCGGCUCAGGAUGAUGGAAAAAGCCCAGGAGACGGAUGGUGGUGCUGGUUGUACAACAUUGUGGAUGUACUUAACACCACUGACUAGUGUGUUUAAAAAUGGGAAAAAGGAUACAUUUUGGGUUUUGUAGAUUUUAUCACAAUUUUUAAAAAAAUAUUUUACUUAUUCUAUUUUAGACAAAGACCAAGAUGAGGAAGUGGGCAGAGGGAGACAAUCUUAAGCAGACUCCAUGCUGAGCACACAGUCCGAUGGGGGGCUCGAUCCCAUUAUUGGCAAACGCAUCCUCCCCAGGCAGGCUUGGUUUUCCCCAUCUGUGCAAUAGGAUUAUCUCAGGGUCUGCUGACAUCUGCUCCGGAGAGAACCUGUCACAGCAGCUGGGAGAACCCACCUCGGGCCCCAUAGCUUUGUUCCCCAGGGCAAAGCCACCGGUUACCUGCCUGGCCUCUACCCUGUAGCAAGAUCACACGGUGUAACUGUCUGGAGAACCAGCUUCCCUCCCUAGCACCUCCCCAAAGUGAUUUUCAAAAUUUGUGCGCAUCAGAAUCCCCUAGAAGGCUUGUUAAAACCCAGACUACCGUGCCUCCCCCGGAUCCCACCCCCCUCAGCUUCAGAUUCAAUGGGUCUGGGGGCAGGUCCCCAAAUUAGCAUUUCAGGCAAGUUCCCAAAUGAUAGCUGAUGCAUCUGGUUGAAUUAGGGAUGAAUCAGGGACUGUACUUUGAGAACCACCUCUGUAAGGUGCCUGCCUCCCUCAUUCACUUAGGCCCCUACCCCUGGCCUUGGUCCUAGAGCUUAGCUUCUUUUAGGGGCAAGAAGAGGCCAGCCAGGCAGAAAGAGGAGGAUGGAGAGGUGAGCCAGGGCAGGAUCCUGUCUGGCCUUGGAGGAGCUCUGAGAUAAGAUAGGAUAGGCGGAUAUGAGCAACAAAGGCAAAUGGAAAAUAUAUACAAAAGAGAGAGAAAUUCAAACACAUUUUUCUUUUUCUUCUUUUUUUUUUUCAGAUUUUAUUUAUUUAUUCAUGAGACACACAGGGAGAGGCAGGCUCCCUCCAGGGAACCUGAUGUAGGACUCAAUCCCAGGACCCCGGGAUCAUGACCUGAGCCAAAGGCAGAUGCUCAGCCACUGAGCCACCCAGGCAUCCCUCAAACGCAUUUUUCUUCUAUGCCAGGCACUAUUCUAAGUGCUUAAUAAUCAUUAACUGGGGUCUCAGCUGGCCGCAUCCCCAACCUUCAGAUCUCCCUCUGCCCUCUGGGUUGGGUGGACAGGACAACAUCCUCCAUCCCUCGUGGCCCCUUCCACAUAAAUUCUCUGUACUUCCGUAUUUUCGUGUUUUCCAGAAUCUUCCCUCCUGCCCCCAAAUGACCCAGCUUCCAAAUUCCAAUACAGUUUUUAAGAUUCUGUGUCCUCCUGUCCAUCCAUCUGUCCACACAUCUUUCCAUCAUUCCCCCCUUCUACCUAGCUAUAUCCCCCACUGGUUCUGAGAACAGAGGUUUCUUGAACCGGACUUGGUGAACAAAACAGAGAGGCCAGGAGGUAUGGACACUUGGCAAGAGGACACGGGCACAGGUUCGCCCACAGCUGGGAGUGAGAGGGAGCAAGAGGCAAAGCUGAGGGCAAAGCUCAGGCUGACACCCUGCAACCCCACCCCCGACUUCCAGGUGGGAUCUGUGUGAUAUUCCUCAGGCACUCCUGGCUGCCCAAAAA